UUUGCCCCCAUGGCAUGGGAUACCCUCCACACCUAUUGAAAUCAGUGGAAACUGAUGGUGCUUAGAGUGGUUUAAUUUAACACAUUGCAGCAGAAUCAUGUCCCUUCUGUCUUUAGUGACUCAGACAGAAAGUUGAAGAAAGUCACCAUUCCUGUGUAGUUUGUUUUGCUCAGGACUCUCAUCCUCUUUGUGCUCUAAAGUAGCAAAUGGUCAGGAAGUUGUUUCUUCCAGCAACACAGUGCCCUCUAGCAUUAUACUUGUUCAGUGCUGAAUCUGAGGACAUAGUGUUACCAACAAACUCUCUAUCUAACACCACUUCUUACAACAACUAGUAGAUUAUUGGAUGUCUCCAAUCCAAAUACUGGCAAAGGAAAUUAAAGGUCAAAUGAUUGACAUAUAUCAGCAUCACUCAGCUAAACCCAGAAGAAUUCUACCAUUAGUUUACAGCAGCUGAAGAUCUUGCACUAAAUUCCAAAAGUUAUAUGAAGAUCAUACAGGUCGUCCACACCAUCAACGAAGUCCUGCUCCCAAGAGUCAUCCGCCUGCGCGACGUGGACACUACAGUGGCCGGCUUCGCUGCCCUUGGGUUCCCCAACUGUGGGGAGCCCUGGAUGCAACUCUCAUCCCCGUCCGAGUCCCGGAGCAUUGAGUGGCCCAUUUUAUGAACAGGAAAGGGUACUGCUCGAUCGUAUUCCAGGCCCUCGUGGACCACCAUGGCCGCUUCUUAGACAUUUAUGUGGGCUGGUCCGGCAGGGCACACCACUCCUGCAUUCUCCGGAACUCCGGCCUGUUUCGCAGGCUGGAGGCGGGCACCUACUUCCCCCGGUGGGAGUUGACUGUCGGGGAUGUGCUUAUGCCCAUAUGUGUCAUCGGGGACGCGGCCUACCCCCUGCUGCCCUGGCUAAUGAGGCCCUACAUGGGGCGGCCAGCCCAGAAUCGGGCCUGGUUCAAUGACCACCUCAAGCAGGCCCGCAAUCACGUGGAGUGCGCCUUCGGCCACUUGAAAGCCCGCUUCCGGUGUUUGCUCACCCGUCUCGAGAUGGGUGAGUGGAACGCCACGGAGGUAGUGGCUGCGUGCUCCACAGUCUUGUGGAGCGGAGUGGGGAGGCUUCCUCCCCACAUGGAUGACAGCCAAGGGCCAGGCCUAUGAACAGCCCCACACAGCUGCCAUCCGCCAGGCGUACCAGGAUGGGGUGCGCAUCCGGGAGGCCUUGACGGACAUGUUCGCCCAGGCCCCAUAGUAGAGUUGCCUCGGUCUCCCUUUACA